UGUAGUCUGCAACUCGACUACAUGAAGCUGGAAUCGCUAGUAAUCGCGAAUCAGAAUGUCGCGGUGAAUACGUUCCCGGGUCUUGUACACACCGCCCGUCACACCAUGGGAGUCAGUAACGCCCGAAGCCGGUGACCUAACCGAAAGGGAGGAGCCGUCGAAGGUGGGACCGAUAACUGGGGUGAAGUCGUAACAAGGUAGC
rnacentral:rRNA from 1 species